UCCGUAGGUGAACCUGCGGAAGGAUCAUUGUCGAAACCUGCCAAGGCAGAACAACACGCGAACCUUUGAUUAAAACUUGGCAACGGCGCUGAGUGCAGCGUGCUCCCACCCGGGGGUUCCGCUGUUCCUCAUUCUGCAGUUGCAAUGCCCGUUGUUAGGGCCUUGUGCCCUGGCUUUCAGGCAAACAAAACCCCCGGCACGAGUCGUGCCAAGGAACACAAAUGAAAUCCUUGGGGGGUGUUUCACCCCCUUAAGUAUUAAAACAAAACGACUCUUGACAACGGAUAUCUAGGCUCUUGCAUCGAUGAAGAACGUAGCGAAAUGCGAUACUUGGUGUGAAUUGCAGAAUCCCGUGAACCAUCGAGUUUUUGAACGCAAGUUGCGCCCGAAGCCUUCUGGCCGAGGGCACGCCUGCCUGGGCGUCAUAAUUCGUCACCCCUCCCACCAUGCCCUUGGGCUGACUGGGUCGGGGUGGAAUCUGGCCUCCCGCGUCCCCUAGGCGCGGCUGGCCGAAAUUUGGACGCACCAUGGCAUUGCCUGUAGCGGCCUAGGUGGAUCGAAAGGCCCUCUAAGUUUGCCGCUCAGCGCAGCGCCGUCGGUGCCCAUGGUCCCUCUCGUAUUCCCCCGUUGCGGGAUAUACUGUUGCGUGACCCCAGGUCAGGCGGGACUACCCGCUGAGUUUAAGCAUAUCAAUAAGCGGAGGA
rnacentral:rRNA from 1 species